ACCAACCAAGGUGACAUAGUUGCAGUCCUUCAUUUUGUUGGCAGUAACAACCUAUUUUUCAGUGGUGUUGGAAAUGAUAGAUUCAGGACCACGAUUUUGACCAUUAAGUCGGUAUUUUAUUUACUAUUUAUUAUUUAUAGAGCUUUUAUAAUGUCGUAUCAAAUUUUGGUUAGGUAAUUUUACAGUUUAGAUAGUUAAUUAAGACAAAAGGACUAAAUAUAAAUAGAUGAAAAGGUUAAUUUUCAUUAGCCUAAAGGAGUUAAUUCAUUAUGGGAACAUGAUUUGAGGCAUUAAAAAGGUAAUUAGACCAUCACAUAUUUGAGUGGACCAUUAUGGGCUAGUAGUUGUUAAGUUUUAUGUGUUUAAUUAAGGGUACAUAAGUAAUUAAGUAAUUAAAAACAAUAACAAAAGAAAACAAAAAAAAAGUAGCUUCUUCUUCCUUCGAUUUCUUUUGCCGAAAAUUUAGAAAGAAAUAGCCAUUGUAGAGCUUGAACAUUCGAUUAACUAGGAUGCUUGAUGUAAGUGAUUUUUGAUUUUGUUUCUAUAGUAAAAUUUAUGUUUUUGAGAUCGUUGUAGCUUAAUCUAGCUAGCCUAGGAACUAAUUCAUAAAACUGUUAAAAGUUUAAGAACUUAUUAUGAAUGAAUUAUAUGUGUUGUUGAAGUUGAUAAUAGUUUUAAAGGAUUAUUAGUUAAAUGGAACUAUCUUACAAAGAAAAUCUUAGUGAUUUUAUUGUUGAAGGAUUUAAUUGUUUAAAUGGUAAAAUCCCAUGAAAUUCUUGUGAAAUUAUGAGCAAUAUAGGUUGUGCAGGAAUCAUAAAGAAUUUGAUCAGUUUAAUUUUGUGUAUAAUUGUGUUAAAUUGAAAGUUUUGAGUUUAGGAUCUAGUUUGCAAAAAGGUAAAAAGUUAGGGUAAUUGUGUAAAAUAUUAUUCAUGAAUUAAUUACAUGUUUUGAACUGUUUGAUGUUGUUUUUAUUGGAUAAUUAAAAAUUUAAUUAUUAUAUUUAGAUCAAGAAACGGUUAGAUAGGUCGAUAAUCGUGGGAAGGGAAAAGCAGUCGAAUAAUCGUCAUCGAACACCGAUAAUUAUUGCACAAGUAAGUUUUUAUGAUAUUUAAUUUCAUUAUAAUUAAAUUCCUUAAUAUUUGUUGUACUCUAAUAGGUGUAGUGUUUAUAAUUAUUGGAUGUUGAUUUGUGGAGAUUAAUAAUGAAAUUGAGUUGUAUUGGAUAUAUAAUAUUGAACCAUGAGUCUAGCAGGCUUCGUGUCGGUGGAUUGUAACAAGCCUCGAGCCUAGCAGGCUUUGAACUGGUGUAACUGUUACAGGAAACUUGUAUGGAAGAUACUAUUUCAAGUAACCAACAAAUUUAAGAAUGUUUUAUGACCUUAUAAUUUUAUAUAUGGUGUGUCAGUUCGUGACUUGGUGAUUUUAAAAGAUGCAGAUUUUAUAGAUUAAAUUAUCUUGGUUGUUUGAGAUAGGGAAUUAUAAUCGUUGACCUCAUUAUACAUUGUUACAUCAAUGUAUUAAAAUUUACGAGUAUAACAAGUUAACUUCAAGAACUUACUAAGCUUUACUCGAUCUUACUUCGUUUCAUUUAAUUUUGUAGGUUCGUUGGAAUUUUGACGUCGAUUGGAUCAGCUCAAGAGAUCUCACCUUAUCCACUAUAUUUUUGGUAGUCAUUUUGUUCAUUUUGAGGUCAGUUUGAAGUCGCAUGUAAAUAGGGUAUCUAGAUGUAUAUGUUGUAAACUCUAGUUAAUAAACAACUUUUUCUGGAUUAGUAACUUGUAAAUGUCAUUUUGGAACUUGUUGGAUGUGGUCGGUGUUUUGCAAUGGUUAUAUGUAGUUAACACUAUGUAUCAUAAUGAGAUGGAAAUGGUUACUAUAUGUAUGAGUAAUAUGGUAUUGGUUAGUAGAAUAGAUGUAAUAAGUUGGUAUGUUUAAGCUUGCAUAGAGUAUGUGAUCAUGGCAAUUGGAUGUUUUGAAUUGACAUUUCAAUUGUGGUGCCAAUGAAGGCAUAUUGGUUAGGCACAUAGGUUGUUGUGAUUUGUCAUGAUUUUGUUGUUUUGGGAUGUUUUUGAAUAUGUUUAAAUAGGGUGAAAGUGUCUUGAAUUAAUUUGGAUUGGUGCCCAAGAAAAUAGAUUGAAAUGGCUUGUUUUAAGGGUUAUUUAGGAAGCACACGUGUCACACGGUCGUGUACCACACACGGUCACACCACACGACCAUGUGCAGCUUUAAUUUUUAAGUGCAAGUUUAACAUGGUCAGAGACACGGCCUACGACAUAGCCGUGUGUCUCAAGUUAGUUUGUUGCAAGGCUUGGCACAUGACCGUGUGACUCAACAUCGAAUAUACACACGGUUUGGCACACAGUCUAUGACAAGGCCUUGUAGCCUUUUUUCGAAUACUCGCAUGUGCAGACACACAAGCUAGAACAUGGCCGUGUGUCAAGACUUCGAAUGCUCACAUGGUCUGCGCUAAGUCACACAGCUGUGUGACCCCUAUUUGUGAAAUUUUAAAGUUUUUCCUGACUUUUCUGUUUUGUUUAGAAAUGACCCCUAAAUGUUUUUAAAAUUAUUUUUAGGGUUUCGUAAACUCGAUAUAAGGCCCGUGAGUGUGUUUUUACUACAAUUACCUUGUGUUAUUGAAUGUUGUUAGUUAAAUGGUAUAAUUGUUUCUAUUAUAAGCUAAAUGUUCUAAUUUGUACCGUAAUGCUCUAUAACUCUAAUCCACCAACGGAGACAGGUUUGGGGUGUUACAUUUGCGAACUAUUACCGACUUUUCAUCGAAGGCUACUCCAAAAUCACGUCACCUUUGAAAAAUUUAUUGAAUAAGGGUAACGUGUGAGAUUGGGAUCCUCAAUGUGAGAAAGCUUUUAAUCUAGUGAAGGAUAUGAUGACGAGGGAGCCUUUACUUGCUUUGCCAUAAUUUUCAAAGUUGUAUUAGGUAUGCACGAAUGCAUCAAAGUAUGUCGUUAGGGGUACUGAUGCAAAAUGGGCAUUCGAUUUCUUUCUAGAGUUGAAAGCGUAAUGAGAUAGAAUAGUGAUACAUGGUCCAAGAGAAAGAAAUGACUGUUGUGGUGCAUUGCUUGCACACAUGGAGACAUUAUUUACUUGGUUCCAGGUUCGUGGUCUUUACCGAUAAUGUUGCAAACAGUUAUUUUCUAACCCAGAAAGAGUUGUCUCUUAAACAUUCUCGUUGGCAAGUGUUCCUAGCAGAUUUUGAUUUUAGCAUAGAAUAUAAAUUGGAGAGUGCAACACUAUGGUUGAUGCACUUAGCCUAUAGAUGGAGUUUGCAUCAAUCAACCUGCCUGAUAGCUCUCUUUUGGAGCGUAUUUGAGAGGGAUUGUCCUAUGAUCCCACGACCAAAAACUUGACCGAGCUUGCCAAAGUAGGGAAACGAUGAGAUUAUGGCUUGAGGGAGAUUUAUUAUACACUUAAGGGCAUCACUUUUGUAUGCGUCAAUACGAGAAAAUUGCACAGAGAAGUCAUGAAGGAGUGUCAUGACUAGAGAUGGGUUGGCCAUCCAGGCAUGCACCACACUUUAGCCUUUUUGGAGGAUCAUUACUACUGGCCUCACAUAGGUGAUGAUAUGGAGACCUAUGUGAGAACUUGUCUGAUGAGCCAACAAGACAAGGUAGAGUUAAAGACUUCAGUCAAAUUGGUACAACAAUUGCCCAUUCUGGAACGUCCAUGAGAGAGUGUAUCCAUGGAUUUUAUUGUUGGUUUGUUUAAGUCUGAUGGGUUUGCAAGCAUUUUUGUUGUGGUGGAUAGGUUUUCCAAGUAUAGAAUGUUUAUUCUAGCAACCAAAGAAUGCCCUGCUAAGGAGGCAACUUAUUUUUUCCCUAGACAUGUGGUGAAAUAUUGGGGAGUGCCAUAGUUUAUCAUUAGUGAUCAAGACGGGUGAUUUACGGACCAGAUCUGGACGGAGUUGUUCAAGUUGAUAGGCUUAGACUUGAAUUUUCCACUAGCAUGCAUUUGCAAACUGAUGGGCAAACCGAACGAGUGAAUGGAUUGUUGGAGACAUACCUUCAGCCCUAUGUGAGUGCCACCCAGAAGUAUUGGCCAAAGUUGUUGGAUAUGACCCAAUUUUCUUAUAAUUUGCAACGAAGUGAGGCAACAAAUCAAAGUUCGUUUGAGAUAGUGAUGGGCCAACAACCACUCACACCCAACAUUGUUGCAAUUUGUUAUGGAAGACCAAAUCCAACAGCUUAUAGAUUUGCAAAGGAAUGACAACAGCAAAAUGACUUAGCCAGAGCUUGCCUACACAAAGGAGUGAGCGCAACAAGAAGCGAGCUGAUAAGAGUCAUAGGGAUGUGGAAUUUCAGGUUGGUGAUUCUAUCUUUGCGAAAUUACACUUGAUUUUGCACCACAAUGACUUGCACAAGGGGUUUGUGCGACAGUAUAAUGGACCUUUCCAAGUUGUGAAGAGAGUAGGCAAUGUGGCCUACAAACUUGAGUUGCCAGCAAAACUCAAGGUUCAUCCGGUAUUCCAUAUCAGUAUGCUUAAGUCAUUCCAUGAGGAUCAAGAGGAUCCAGAUCUAGGCAAGUCCGAACGAGCGCCAAUAGGGAUAAAGGUCUUAUAUGAUCAUGAAGUUGAAAGCAUCAUGGCGGACUGUGUGAUCAGACGAAAGUACUAUCAGCCGAGGCAUGAGUACUUAGUGCGAUGGAAGGGACUUCCUGGCAGUGUCGAGGCCCUAUGGUAGUUCCAAGACAAGAUAGACCAAUUUAAUUUGGAGGACGUGACGAGGGCAUCACUACAAUAGGUGGGGGAUAAUGUCAUGGGUUUGCAUGGGAGCCUGCAACCAUGGCACACUUGUGUGGUCCAUCAUGUUCAAGAGAGGUCAUUUGGCCCAAUUGGACUGCCCCAUUGCUUGGAGAGAUUGAAGGUCCAUCAAUAAAGCAUGGCAAAUAUAGAGUGUAAUCUUCAAAGAUAUGUAAUCUUAGAUAUGAUUUGUAAUCUUAGAAGAUAUGAUUCUGUAAUAUUAGUGAUUUGAUUUUGUAGAUAGCUUUUAAUCUUAGCCGUUUAUGUACUUUAAUCUAUACUGUUGAAUUUGGGGAGGCUCAACUAUAAAUAGAAGCCUCUCUCUCUUAUUGUAAAUCACUUCAGUUUUGAGCAAUAGAAUUAUUGAAAGCAUUCACUCAAACAUUCUCUCUUGUUCUUUUAUUUUUCUGUGGCUUUGUUCUUAUAUUUCAAGUUCGUUCAUCUUUGAGUUGCUUCCGAUUUGCAUUGGUGCCGUAGAAGAAUUCUAUUUGAAUCCUCAAUUGUUGAGAGUUAGGUUGACUUAGGUGUUUUUGAAGCGAAGAAUUUGCCUAAGGCCGUACAAAUUGUGAGACUAAAGUUCUAGCCCGGCGACACUAACAGUACCUUCCAUGCUAACUCUACUUCUCUUGAUUCCUGCUUCCAAUUAUACAUACAAACUUACAACAAUUGAACUUAGCUACACAAUAAUUAACAAUCAGGGAAAUAAUAUUACAUCUAGUUAAGACCAAGAAUUAAAACCUACAUUUCAAUACAUUUUCAAGACAAACAAAUAAAUUAGCAUUAAAGAAGAAGUUGAUUUAAAAGAAGAGAAAAAAAAACGUACCUAGAACUUUUGAGAGAAACAAUAGCUAAUAGGGGUGAGUAAAACUUGAUUCGACUCGAAAAAAUAAAAAAAAAAUUUGAAUUUCGAGUCAAACGAAUUGGGUUAUUCAAGUUAAUUGAGUUAUUCGAAUCAACUCGAAUUUUUUUCGAAUUUCGAGUUCGAAUCGAGUUGAGUUUUCCAAUUCGAAUAACUCGAAUAAUUCGAAUAAUUCGAAUAUCAAACUAUAAUAUUUUACAUUUUUACCCCAAACUCCCAAACCUUUUUGCUUUUCCCUCAAAACUUUUACUCUUUUCCACUUUCCCCCCAAAACUUUUACUCCCUUCCCCUCCCAACCCCCCAAUCUACCCAAAAUCCAUUUCCCACCAAAAUUUUACUCUCCCAUUUAUUUUUUCUCAAAAUUUUACUCCCCAGAACCCUCAAAACCUUUUAUUUUCUCCCAAAAUUUUUACUCCCUCCCACUUUUCCCCUAAAACUUUUAUUCCCUUCCCAUCCCACCUCCCAUCUACCUCAAACCUUCCCCCCUCCAAUUUUUUUUUAAAUAUUUUCCCUCCAAAAUUUUACUCUCCCUAUUUAUUUUCCCUCAAACUUUUAUUCUCCAAAACUUUUUAUUUUCCCCCUAAACUUUUACUUUUCACCCUUGACCCUCAAAUAAAAAAUUAAAAUUAUCCAAAAAAAAUUCACUAAACAUAAAUAGUAAUAAUUUUAUUUAUAUCUACUAUUUAUAUUAUUAAAUUAAAUUUCACAUUUUAUAUUAUUUAUAUUAUUUAUAUUAUUGAAUUGUUUAGUCAUAUUGAAUAUUUAUAUUAAAAUUGAAUUAUUAAUUAUGCCAUAAAAUAUUCAUGUUAAAAUUUUAUAUUGGUAUCAAUUUCACAUUUUAUUUUUAAAAUAACUUUUAUUAAAAAAAAUCAUAUUUUUACAUUUAAUAUAUUUUUUAAUUCCAAAAUACAUAGUGACAAGAAUCUGAAGAUAAUUGAAACAACUAAGCAAGCAAAGAAGCUAACCAAUAUAUAAAAAAUUAAUAAAUAAAUUAUGAGGUGAUGAAAGUUAAUAAAAAUUUUGAUGAAGGUGGACAAAUUUUAUUACGAUGGGUGACAAUGGUUACAAGGACCCAAAAUUAUUUUUUAAAAUUUAACUCGAACAAAUAUAUUCGAUUCGAUUCGAUUCGAUUCGAAUUCCAUCCCACUCGACUCGAUUCGAGAAAACUUCAAAUAAAGUAGGAUGAUAAAAUGAGGUUCGAAAACUCGAUUAACUCGAAAAUUUUCGAUUCGAUUCGAUCGAAUGCUCACCCCGAAUAGCUAACCUAAGGAAAAGAAAGGAGCCACAUAAACCCUAUUAUAUAUAUAGCCUCUCUGCAUCCAUCUCCAUCUCUUCUCCCAUGUAAUAUAAUUUGUAAGUUUCAAUAAUUUUCAAAUCCUAAAUUUCUUUCUCUUAUGAGUUUAAUUUAUUUUAUCAAGAAGAACAAUUACUAACACUUAUUCAAUUAAUUUAUUUUAUCAAGAUUUGAAGCUACUGACACAGGAGAAUUUCGAAAUAACAUGAUGUGGAUGAAUUAGAGAGUAAGUGGCAAUGUGGUCGACCAGAGCUUCUGGGUUUGGUGUUGUCUAAUCUGUAUGCGGGGUACGAAGCCAGAUUCUAUGCUGUUUGCAAAGCAUGGCUUCCAUCUCACCUUCACCUUCACCUUCACCUAAUUUCCACCAAUCUCCAUGGUUGAUGUAAUUUUCCCAGAAGCAGCGACAACCGAUGCAACUUGUUUCAUCCUACCGGCAAUGCCACUUGUCAUCUGGACGUUCCCAAUGAAGUACGUGCAUCCAAAAUCCGUUGUGCAAAAUAUGGCUGGUUGCUGCUAUCUAAACAAGCUGAUCACGACGGGUUUCAACUUACAUGUCUUCAAUCCUCUAACCAAAGGAUCAGCCUUCCUUCUUGUGGCUCCUAGGAACUAAUGUCAUUCACUGCUCUUCCUCAUUCAUCCAACUUUUUAGUGCUCGGAUUUGAUUUUUACUAUGGAUCAGGUCAUGUUGAAGUUUAUAAGCUUGGAGACAAGGACUGAAAGCAUCAUGAAUUUUUGGGGAUGGCGCCGUUCUGCGCAACAAAUUGCAGUCCCGUUUUAUACAAUGAAUUAUAUUAUUGCUCGAGUUUGCAGGGGAAUUUGCUAGUAUUCGAUGCUGAAGAUGUGGAGCAAAGCUUGACUGUUUAUAAGAAGGCCAUUCGAAUAAGGAUCCGUAACUCGAGUCAACAAGCCUUUUUGGUGGAAAAUGAAGGAGAAAUAGAAAAUCUGUUGAUGUUUUCAAGUGGGAUCAUACGGAGAAGAUGUUUAUAUCAAUCAAAACCUUGGGAAACAACAACAUGCUGCAUCUUUUUCUUCACGAAUUUCUUUAAGGGGAACUGCCAAUAAUAUUUAUUUCCCAAAUGAUGCAGACAUGAACCUUUUCUUCACGAAUUUUCAUGUCAGAAUCUAAUAUCAUCACAUUUGAUCUUGUUGCUUGACAUAUCUCCCUGGAUUCAAGCAUCUCUUUUGUACAGCCUGCAGGUAAACUUAGCUGGUUUCAAAAGUGCAUGAGAAAUAAUAGAUGUGAAAUUUCUAAAACCACAUCUGGAAUCUGAAUCUGCUGAUAAUAUUAUGUAUAUAAUAUAUAUAUUUAUCUUCUGGUCAGAAGGACUACAUAGAUCAUCUUUAAGAAUUCAAUAAACAUCAAUACCAUCUAAUCAUAGAUGACUCGGCUAUUUUAUUCCUGAGAGAAGACGACUAUACAUGCUAAUACAGAAUGGGGGUAAUCUCUUUAAGUGUAGUCUGAUCAGACUGUUUGCUUCCUCUGAAAUCCGGUACCAGGAUCAUCAUUGGAAGGGAAAACCUGAAGGCCGGUAACCAUGGCAGCUGGUGGGCCACGACGACACCUCUGCUCCAUCUCCUCAACAGAAUCCGGGGUUCCAGAGAAAAGAGCUUCCACUGAGCCAUCCCUCCUGUUCCUAACCCAGCCUUUCAAGCCAAGUUGAGUGGCAUUCUCUAUGGUCCAGUUCCUAUAGAACACACCCUGAACCCUACCCUUUAUGACAACCCUUACCUGCACCACCAAAUCUCCACAAUUCAUUGCAUUGCAACUCCUAUACUAUACAGAGAUAUUUAUAGCCAUGAAUUGCACAAUCAAUCCAACCAAGAGAGAUCAAUGACUUACAGGAAAUCUAACUUUCCAAGGGAAUAUCCAAAAAGGAAAAAAAAAAACCAUUAUCAAAAUAUAAUAAGUGACAUGAAACCCAAAAAAAUGAAUUAAUAAAACAAUUAGCACAAACUAAGAGGCAUUCAAUACCACAGAUAGACAAUCAUAUCCCAAAAAUGCACCAACAGAUCAAGAUAAGACCAUUAACUACGCAAAUUUGAGUUUCGAAGGGAACAACCAGAACCAUGCCGUCAAAUAUAUGCGAAAGGGAAUUAAACUCAGAACUCCGAUUAGUAUAUAUGGAAGUUAAACUUUUCAAGUAUCUAAAUUGCACAAACAAGUCUAGAGAUAACCAUUGAAGAACCAACCAAGAUGAACCCAUUAU
rnacentral:lncRNA from 1 species